rnacentral:rRNA from 2 species
AGUCGAGCGAACAGAUGAGAAGCUUGCUUCUCUGAUGUUAGCGGCGGACGGGUGAGUAACACGUGGGUAACCUACCUAUAAGACUGGGAUAACUCCGGGAAACCGGGGCUAAUACCGGAUAAUAUUUUGAACCGCAUGGUUCAAUAGUGAAAGACGGUUUCGGCUGUCACUUAUAGAUGGACCCGCGCCGUAUUAGCUAGUUGGUAAGGUAACGGCUUACCAAGGCGACGAUACGUAGCCGACCUGAGAGGGUGAUCGGCCACACUGGAACUGAGACACGGUCCAGACUCCUACGGGAGGCAGCAGUAGGGAAUCUUCCGCAAUGGGCGAAAGCCUGACGGAGCAACGCCGCGUGAGUGAUGAAGGUCUUCGGAUCGUAAAACUCUGUUGUUAGGGAAGAACAAAUUUGUUAGUAACUGAACAAGUCUUGACGGUACCUAACCAGAAAGCCACGGCUAACUACGUGCCAGCAGCCGCGGUAAUACGUAGGUGGCAAGCGUUAUCCGGAAUUAUUGGGCGUAAAGCGCGCGUAGGCGGUUUCUUAAGUCUGAUGUGAAAGCCCACGGCUCAACCGUGGAGGGUCAUUGGAAACUGGGAAACUUGAGUGCAGAAGAGGAGAGUGGAAUUCCAUGUGUAGCGGUGAAAUGCGCAGAGAUAUGGAGGAACACCAGUGGCGAAGGCGGCUCUCUGGUCUGUAACUGACGCUGAUGUGCGAAAGCGUGGGGAUCAAACAGGAUUAGAUACCCUGGUAGUCCACGCCGUAAACGAUGAGUGCUAAGUGUUAGGGGGGUUCCGCCCCUUAGUGCUGCAGCUAACGCAUUAAGCACUCCGCCUGGGGAGUACGACCGCAAGGUUGAAACUCAAAGGAAUUGACGGGGACCCGCACAAGCGGUGGAGCAUGUGGUUUAAUUCGAAGCAACGCGAAGAACCUUACCAAAUCUUGACAUCCUUUGACCGCUCUAGAGAUAGAGUCUUCCCCUUCGGGGGACAAAGUGACAGGUGGUGCAUGGUUGUCGUCAGCUCGUGUCGUGAGAUGUUGGGUUAAGUCCCGCAACGAGCGCAACCCUUAAGCUUAGUUGCCAUCAUUAAGUUGGGCACUCUAGGUUGACUGCCGGUGACAAACCGGAGGAAGGUGGGGAUGACGUCAAAUCAUCAUGCCCCUUAUGAUUUGGGCUACACACGUGCUACAAUGGAUAAUACAAAGGGCAGCGAAUCCGCGAGGCCAAGCAAAUCCCAUAAAAUUAUUCUCAGUUCGGAUUGUAGUCUGCAACUCGACUACAUGAAGCUGGAAUCGCUAGUAAUCGUAGAUCAGCAUGCUACGGUGAAUACGUUCCCGGGUCUUGUACACACCGCCCGUCACACCACGAGAGUUUGUAACACCCGAAGCCGGUGGAGUAACCUU